rnacentral:misc_RNA from 1 species
GCCCAAAGUCGGUUUAGCAAACUUCGGAUGCGACUGCCUAAGGCAGGAUUGGUGACUGGGGUGAAGUCGUAACAAGGUAUCCCUACGAGAACGUGGGGAUGGAUCACCUCCUUUCUACGGAGUACAACUUACACUUUUUUUGGUAUAAAAAUCUUCGCUACAAUGUUUAAUUACUUUUAGCUUGAAGUCGAUGUGUUAGCGCCAGCCAAAGCGCCUUCUAAUAUUCAGUUUUGAGAGUUCUAUUUUAUUUAUAGACCAAUUAGAUCUUUGAAAACUGAAUAGCAUAAAUUAAUAUGAUAACGACAUCAAAAAUAUAGAAAAUAAAUUAAAUUUUAUUAUUAAAUAAUUUUGAUCCGAGUUGAGUAGCCAUUGAGCUACUCUAUAGAUACCUUAAGAUACACAUCAAAAAAAUAUAAAAACAUUUGUUUAAUAGGCAAAUAAAAAUAGAAAAAACGAUUACUUUUAAAUAAGAAAGAGUUUGUAGUGG